rnacentral:tRNA from 1 species
AGGGCGGUAGCUCAGUCCGGUCAGAGCGCUGGUCUCCAAAACCAGUGGUCGGGGGUUCGAAUCCCUCCCGCCCUGCCA